UAAAUUGCCCAAUCUGACACAGGGAGGUAGUGACAAGAAAUAACAAUACAGGGCAUUAAUGUCUUGUACUUGGAAUGAGUUAAAUUUAAACCCCUUAACGAGUAACAAUUGGAGGGCAAGUCUGGUGCCAGCAGCCGCGGUAAUUCCAGCUCCAAUAGCGUAUAUUAAAGUUGUUGCAGUUAAAAAGCUCGUAGUCGAAGUUGUGUGCGUCGGAAUGGUGUGGCGAUUGUCAUGUCAAACCGUCGUAUAUUUCUCAGUUCUCUGAGACUGUUACUUUGAGGAAAUUAGAGUGCUCCAAGCAAGCUUUGCUUUGAAUACUUCAGCAUGGGAUAACAUCAUAAGACUUUGGCUUUUGUUGUUUGUUCUGUGGCCAAGGUAAAGAUUAAUAGGAACGGUUGGGGACAUUCGUAUUAAACAGUGAGAGGUGAAAUUCUUAGAUCUGUUUAAGACGCACUAAUGCGAAAGCAUUUGUCAAGGACGUUUUCAUUAAUCAAGAACGAAAGUUAGGGGAUCGAAGACGAUCAGACACCGUCGUAGUCUUAACUAUAAACUAUGCCGACUAGGGAUUGGGAGGCGUCCUUUUCGACUCUACCAGCAUCUUAAGAGAAAUCAAAGUUUUUGGGUUCUGGGGGGAGUAUGGUCGCAAGGCUGAAACUUGAAGGAAUUGACGGAAGGGCACCACCAGGAGUGGAGCCUG
rnacentral:rRNA from 1 species